rnacentral:rRNA from 1 species
AAUCAACGCUGGCGGCGUGCCUAACACAUGCAAGUCGAACGCGAGAGGGGCUUCGGCCCCGAUUGAGUGGCGAACGGGUGAGUAACGCGUGGGUGACCUACCUUCGAGUGGGGGAUAACGUCCCGAAAGGGACGCUAAUACCGCAUAACAUCCUGCUUUUGAAUGGGUGGAGAUCAAAGCCGGGGAUCGCAAGACCUGGCGCUUGAUGAGGGGCCCGCGUCUGAUUAGCUAGNGGUGAGGUAACGGCCCACCAAGGCAACGAUCAGUAUCCGGCCUGAGAGGGCGGACGGACACACUGGGACUGAGACACGGCCCAGACUCCUACGGGAGGCAGCAGUGGGGAAUUGUUCGCAAUGGGCGCAAGCCUGACGACGCAACGCCGCGUGGAGGAUGAAGGUCUUCGGGAUUGUAAACUCCUGUUGCCCGGGACGAAUGGCUCCGACCUAACACGUCGGAGUGUGACGGUACCGGGUGAGGAAGCCCGGCUAACUCUGUGCCAGCCGCCGCCGUAAC